UUUUAGGUGUUUCUGCCCAGACCGUCCUCAUGCUUGGGACUGUAAACCUGACCCUCCAGCUACAGGAAAUAACAAAUUCAGAUUGAAGUUUGGAUUGGGAGCAGGUGCAGGCAUCGGAUUACUAGUAAUUUUGUCUCUUUAUUUUUUCCUCAGUUACCGUAAAAGAAAACCUGCUCCCUCUAACUUCCUGUCAAAAAAUUCCUAUUCUGUUCCCUCCUCAAAAUCAGAUCUAGAAUUGGGCGGCGCCUACUUUGGUGUCCCACUCUUCUCGUACACUGAACUUGAAGAAGCCACUAGUAAUUUUGACAGCAGAAAAGAGCUUGGAGAUGGAGGUUUUGGAACUGUGUAUUACGGUAAGCUCCGAGAUGGACGAGAGGUUGCAGUCAAGCGCUUGUAUGAGAACAAUUACAAGAGAGUUGAGCAGUUUAUGAAUGAAGUUGAUAUCCUAACUCGCUUGCACCAUCAACAUCUUGUCUCACUAUAUGGGUGCACCUCUCGCCACUGCCGUGAGCUCCUACUUGUAUACGAGUACAUUCCCAAUGGCACAGUUGCUGAUCAUCUUCAUGGAGAAAGGGCUAAGCCUGGUGCACUCCCAUGGUGUACUCGAAUUAAAAUUGCUGUAGAGACUGCUAGUGCAUUGGCAUAUCUACAUGCUUCAGAUAUCAUCCAUCGUGAUGUGAAAACCAACAACAUUCUUCUUGACAACAAUUUUUGUGUUAAAGUUGCAGAUUUUGGAUUGUCUCGCUUCUUUCCAAUGGAUGUUACUCAUGUUUCAACUGCUCCACAAGGAACUCCUGGUUAUGUCGAUCCAGAGUAUCAUGAAUGCUAUCAGCUGACUGACAAGAGUGAUGUCUAUAGUUUUGGGGUGGUCUUGGUUGAGCUUAUAUCAUCCAUGCCUGCCGUUGAUAUCACUAGGCAUCGCCAUGAGAUUAAUUUGUCCAACAUGGCAAUCAAUAAGAUACAAAGCGACGCAUUGGAUGAACUUGUAGACCAUAAUCUUGGGUUUGAAUCAAAUAAUGCUGCAAGGGGAAUGAUAACUGCAGUGGCAGAGUUGGCAUUUCAAUGUCUGCAAAGUGCAAAGGAGUUGAGACCGUCUAUGGAACAAGUGUUAGAGACUCUAAAGGAGAUACAAAAUAAGGACUAUGAUAUAGGAAAAAAGACACAGGAGACGGAUAUUCUAUCAGAUGAUGUUGGGUUGUUGAAGAGUGGUCAGCUGCCACGUUCUCCAGAUACAGUCAUGAUGAAAUGGCUUAGCAAUUCCACUACACCUAAUAUCAGUGGUUAAGUUUUGCUUGUUUCAUUGAGUUUUCCAGUAAAUAGACCGGUAGCUUUGAAGUGGCAACAUAUGGAGUAAUGCAGGAAAGAAUGUCAGUUUCUUUUCAUCUGCUAGACAUUAGUAUUUUGGAAGGGAUGUACGCAUGGUUUGAAAAGUCAUAGUUAUAUUCAACUGAUUUUUACCUUUGUACUAUAAUUGUAAGUUAAAAUCGAAGAUUGUUUUAUUCUUUAUACUGAUUUUACCUUAGCAACGUGUUCUCUAACGAUGACAUUUACAUUCUUAAAUGUAAUGUGGCCUAGCUUACUACAGACUAGUGUAUAUUCAUUUCAUUGCUAAAUAUUUAUCUCCGGG
rnacentral:misc_RNA from 1 species